rnacentral:rRNA from 1 species
GACGAACGCUGGCGGCGUGCUUAACACAUGCAAGUCGAACGGAAAGGCCCUGCUUUUGUGGGGUGCUCGAGUGGCGAACGGGUGAGUAACACGUGAGUAACCUGCCCUUGACUUUGGGAUAACUUCAGGAAACUGGGGCUAAUACCGGAUAGGAGCUCCUGCUGCAUGGUGGGGGUUGGAAAGUUUCGGCGGUUGGGGAUGGACUCGCGGCUUAUCAGCUUGUUGGUGGGGUAGUGGCUUACCAAGGCUUUGACGGGUAGCCGGCCUGAGAGGGUGACCGGCCACAUUGGGACUGAGAUACGGCCCAGACUCCUACGGGAGGCAGCAGUGGGGAAUAUUGCACAAUGGGCGGAAGCCUGAUGCAGCAACGCCGCGUGCGGGAUGACGGCCUUCGGGUUGUAAACCGCUUUCGACUGUGACGAAGCGGGAGUGACGGUAAUGGGUAAAGAAGCACCGGCUAACUACGUG